UGAGGAAUAUUGGACAAUGGAGGCAACUCUGAUCCAGCCAUGCCGCGUGUAGGAAGACGGCCCUAUGGGUUGUAAACUACUUUUGUACGGGAAGAAAUACAGUCACGUGUGAUUGUUUGACGGUACCGUAAGAAUAAGCACCGGCUAACUCCGUGCCAGCAGCCGCGGUAAUACGGAGGGUGCAAGCGUUAUCCGGAAUCAUUGGGUUUAAAGGGUCCGUAGGCGGGUAAUUAAGUCAGUGGUGAAAUGCAGGGGCUCAACUCCGGCACUGCCAUUGAUACUGGUUAUCUUGAAUUAUUGUGAAGUGGUUAGAAUAUGUAGUGUAGCGGUGAAAUGCUUAGAUAUUACAUAGAAUACCGAUUGCGAAGGCAGAUCACUAACAAUAUAUUGACGCUGAUGGACGAAAGCGUGGGGAGCGAACAGG
rnacentral:rRNA from 1 species